GAUGAACGCUAGCGGGAGGCUUAACACAUGCAAGUCGUGGGGCAGCAUAAUGUAGCAAUACGUUGAUGGCGACCGGCGCACGGGUGAGUAACGCGUAUGCAACCUACCCUGUACAGGGGGAUAGCCCGGAGAAAUUCGGAUUAAUACCCCAUAAAGAUAUGAGAAGGCAUCUUUUUAUAUUUAAAGUUUCGGCGGUACGGGAUGGGCAUGCGUAACAUUAGCUAGUUGGUAGGUAACGGCCUACCAAGGCAACGAUCGGUAGCUGGUCUGAGAGGAUGAUCAGCCACACUGGGACUGAGACACGGCCCAGACACCUACGGGUGGCAG
rnacentral:rRNA from 1 species